rnacentral:rRNA from 1 species
GAUGAACGCUGGCGGCGUGCUUAACACAUGCAAGUCGAACGGGAAACAUUUUAAUGAAGCUUCGGCAGAUUUAGCUUGUUUCUAGUGGCGGACGGGUGAGUAACGCGUGGGUAACCUGCCUCACACUGGGGGAUAACAGUCAGAAAUGACUGCUAAUACCGCAUAAACGCACGGGAUUGCAUGAUCCAGUGUGAAAAACUCCGGUGGUGUGAGAUGGACCCGCGUUGGAUUAGCCAGUUGGCAGGGUAACGGCCUACCAAAGCGACGAUCCAUAGCCGGCCUGAGAGGGUGGACGGCCACAUUGGGACUGAGACACGGCCCAGACUCCUACGGGAGGCAGCAGUGGGGAAUAUUGCACAAUGGGGGAAACCCUGAUGCAGCGACGCCGCGUGAAGGAAGAAGUAUCUCGGUAUGUAAACUUCUAUCAGCAGGGAAGAAAAUGACGGUACCUGACUAAGAAGC